rnacentral:rRNA from 1 species
UUCGCCCUUAAAGUUCGAUCCUGGCUCAGGAUGAACGCUGGCGGCGUGCUUAACACAUGCAAGUCGAACGGAGCACCCCUGAAGGAGUUUUCGGACAACGGAAGGGGCUGCUUAGUGGCGGACGGGUGAGUAACGCGUGAGGAACCUGCCUUGGAGUGGGGAAUAACAGCUGGAAACAGCUGCUAAUACCGCAUAAUAUAUCUGAGGCCGCAUGGUCUCUGGAUAUCAAAGAUUUAUCGCUCUGAGAUGGACUCGCGUCUGAUUAGCUGGUUGGCGGGGUAACGGCCCACCAAGGCGACGAUCAGUAGCCGGACUGAGAGGUUGGCCGGCCACAUUGGGACUGAGACACGGCCCAGACUCCUACGGGAGGCAGCAGUGGGGAAUAUUGGGCAAUGGGCGCAAGCCUGACCCAGCAACGCCGCGUGAAGGAAGAAGGCUUUCGGGUUGUAAACUUCUUUUGUCAGGGACGAAGCAAGUGACGGUACCUGACGAAUAAGCCACGGCUAACUACGUGCCAGCAGCCGCGGUAAUACGUAGGUGGCAAGCGUUAUCCGGAUUUACUGGGUGUAAAGGGCGUGUAGGCGGGACUGCAAGUCAGAUGUGAAAACCACGGGCUCAACCUGUGGCCUGCAUUUGAAACUGUAGUUCUUGAGUACUGGAGAGGCAAACGGAAUUCCCAGUGUAGCGGUGAAAUGCGUAGAUAUUAGGAGGAACACCAGUGGCGAAGGCGGUCUGCUGGACCGCAACUGACGCUGAGGCGCGAAAGCGUGGGGAGCAAAACAGGUUUAGAUACCCUGGUAGUCCGCGCUGUAAACGAUGGAUGCUAGGUGUGGGGGGACUGACCCCCUCCGUGCCGCAGUUAACACAAUAAGUAUCCCACCUGGGGAGUACGAUAGCAAGGUUGAAACUCAAAGGAAUUGACGGGGGCCCGCACAAGCGGUGGAGUAUGUGGUUUAAUUCGAAGCAACGCGAAGAACCUUAUCAGGGCUUGACAUCCCGGUGACCGCUCUAGAGAUAGAGUUUUCCCUUCGGGGACACUGGAGACAGGUGGUGCAUGGUUGUCGUCAGCUCGUGUCGUGAGAUGUUGGGUUAAGUCCCGCAACGAGCGCAACCCUUAUUGUUAGUUGCUACGCAAGAGCACUCUAGCGAGACUGCCGUUGACAAAACGGAGGAAGGUGGGGACGACGUCAAAUCAUCAUGCCCCUUAUGUCGUGGGCCACACACGUAGUACAAUGGUGGUCAACAGAGGGAAGCAAAGCCGCGAGGUGGAGCAAAUCCCUAAAAGCCAUCCCAGUUCGGAUCGCAGGCUGCAACCCUGCCUGCGUGAAGUUGGAAUCGCUAGUAAUCGCGGAUCAGAAUGCCGCGGUGAAUACAGUGCCGGUCCUUGUACUCACCGCCCGUCA